rnacentral:rRNA from 1 species
GACGAACGCUGGCGGCGUGCCUAAUACAUGCAAGUAGAACGCUGAAGAGAGGAGCUUGCUCUUCUUGGAUGAGUUGCGAACGGGUGAGUAACGCGUAGGUAACCUGCCUUGUAGCGGGGGAUAACUAUUGGAAACGAUAGCUAAUACCGCAUAACAAUGGAUGACACAUGUCAUUUAUUUGAAAGGGGCAAUUGCUCCACUACAAGAUGGACCUGCGUUGUAUUAGCUAGUAGGUGAGGUAAUGGCUCACCUAGGCGACGAUACAUAGCCGACCUGAGAGGGUGAUCGGCCACACUGGGACUGAGACACGGCCCAGACUCCUACGGGAGGCAGCAGUAGGGAAUCUUCGGCAAUGGGGGCAACCCUGACCGAGCAACGCCGCGUGAGUGAAGAAGGUUUUCGGAUCGUAAAGUUCUGUUGUAAGUCAAGAACGGGUGUGAGAGUGGAAAGUUCACACUGUGACGGUAGCUUACCGGAAAGGGACGGCUAACUACGUG